rnacentral:rRNA from 1 species
ACGAACGCUGGCGGCGUGCUUCACCCAUGCAAGUCGAACGGAAAGGCCCUGCUUUUGUGGGGUGCUCGCGUGGCGAACGGGUGAGUAACACGUGAGUAACCUGCCCUUGACCUUGGGGUAACUUCAGGAAACUGGGGCUAAUACCGGAUAGGAGCUCCUGCUGCAUGGUGGGGGUUGGAAAGUUUCGGCGGUUGGGGAUGGACUCGCGGCUUAUCAGCUUGUUGGUGGGGUAGUGGCUUACCAAGGCUUUGACGGGUAGCCGGCCUGAGAGGGUGACCGGCCACAUUGGGACUGAGAUACGGCCCAGACUCCUACGGGAGGCAGCAGUGGGGAAUAUUGCACAAUGGGCGGAAGCCUGAUGCAGCAACGCCGCGUGCGGGAUGACGGCCUUCGGGUUGUAAACCGCUUUCGCCUGUGACGAAGCGUGAGUGACGGUAAUGGGUAAAGAAGCACCGGCUAACUACGUG